rnacentral:rRNA from 1 species
GUGUCAGCCGCCGCGGUAAGACGUAGGGGGCGAGCGUUGUCCGGAUUCAUUGGGCGUAAAGCGCGCGUAGGCGGCUCGGUAAGUCGGUUGUGAAAUCCCGGGGCUCAACCCCGGGACUGCGUCCGAUACUGUCGAGCUAGAGGUAGGUAGGGGAGAUCGGAAUUCCUGGUGUAGCGGUGAAAUGCGCAGAUAUCAGGAGGAACACCGGUGGCGAAGGCGGAUCUCUGGGCCUUACCUGACGCUGAGGCGCGAAAGCUAGGGGAGCGAACAGGAUUAGAUACCCGGGUAGUCC